GUGCUCACUUUGGCAGCACAUAUGCUAAAAUUGGAAUAAUAGAGAUAUUAGUGUGGUCACUGCGCAAGGAUGACAUGCAAGUUUGUGAAGCAUUCUAUAUAUAC
ensembl:snRNA U6 U6 spliceosomal RNA